rnacentral:rRNA from 1 species
AAAGCACUUUCAGUAGGGAGGAAGGUAGUGUAGUUAACACCUGCAUUAUUUGACGUUACCUACAGAAGAAGCACCGGCUAACUCCGUGCCAGCAGCCGCGGUAAUACGGAGGGUGCGAGCGUUAAUCGGAAUUACUGGGCGUAAAGCGCAUGCAGGCGGCCUGUUAAGUCAGAUGUGAAAGCCCGGGGCUUAACCUCGGAAUUGCAUUUGAAACUGGCAGGCUAGAGUCUUGUAGAGGGGGUAGAAUUUCAGGUGUAGCGGUGAAAUGCGUAGAGAUCUGAAGGAAUACCAGUGGCGAAGGCGGCCCCCUGGACAAAGACUGACGCUCAGAUGCGAAAGCGUGGGGAGCAAACAGGAUUAGAUACCCUGGUAG